AGAUCUUUGCUUAGGCCAAGGACACAAAGAUUUUCUGUGUUUUUUUCCUUGGAAAUUUUACAGUUUCAGCUCAUGUGUUUGGGUCUGUGAUCCAUUUUGUUCCAGUAUUUGUAUGUACUGCCAAAGCAAGCAUUGGGAUCCAUCUUGAGGUAAGGUUUUCACGUGUAGUUUCAGGUAAAACUAUGUGUUCUUACUUUGCAUAUGGAUAUUUAGUUAUUUCAUUAUCAUCUGUUGAAAAGACUAUUCUUGUCCCAUUCAGCUGCCUCUGCACUUUUGUAAAAUAUGAGUUCACCAUAAAUAUGAGGGUUUAAUUCUGUACUGUGUGGCCCUGAUCACACAGCUGGCCCGUCUUCAGCCGAGGGUCAGAGCAGGAGUGAGGACACCAUGGUUCAGCUGUAAAGAGAAGGUGCAGACCUGCAGGAGGGGCCCGGAGUGUAGCACGUGCCCCCACGGAGGGCCUGGCUGUGGGCAGCUGCUGCCACAGCCUCACGUCCUGCUGGGGUUGUUCCUGUUAAUCGUGCAUCUCCAAGCGAUGCCGCCUGCCCUGCCCUUGUGUUGGAGGGAGGUCGUGUCGGGACCAGGUCACCCAGGAGAAGUGUCAGAAGGGUAGGUGCUCAGACGUGGCCUACCAGCUCAGGCAGUGGAGGGAGGGAAGGGGAGAUAUGCCCCAGACCUAAACCCUGUGUGUGUGUGUGUGUGUGUGUGUGUGUGUGUACACUUUCAGAUUAUUCUCACCUCCUUCUUACUGGAGCCUUGCCUUAUCCUUGUGACACCAAACUUUCUCGUCCUGUGGUGGAGGAACUAGAAAUCAGACUGAGCCUUUUCUCAUGUGGCAUCUGAGCCUGGGGUGUACAGUAGGCGAGUAACAAGUGCUUGUGCAACAGGCCCCAAAGGAGACCAGCCCCAUCUCCCUCAUGUACGGGCUGCUCAGGCUGGGCUGCAUCUGACCCCUUGGGGUGGCGGGCGGGGAUCCGGGGACUCCUGGGUCUCCUGCCAUGUGAUGGAGGGGCCCAAGGUGAGAGCCAGACUUCUGGUGUGUGUUUUUGUGUUGCUGGCUGUCUAGGAAUGUCUCGUGAGCACUUGUGCUGGGUAUACCCUUUCUAACUCGUUCCUUUGGUAUCUAAAGGAAGAGCCGAGGCCGGUGUUCCAUAUGAGAGAGGACGUUCUCUGUCAUUGGGGGCAUUCUGGGUCUCCCGGCCAUCCCUGUUCCAAGGGAGUGAGCUCGUGCUGAGCCCCAUGGGUUGGUGGCAGUAGGGUGGGGGUGGGGAGAAGGGGGCUCCUCCUGCUCACAGGCGGCUCACCUUCCUGCUCAGGGACCUGCACCGUCCCCUCCAGCGUGGGGCAGCUUAGCUGGACUCCUGUCCUGUCUCCGUCCUGUGCUGUUCACCGAUGAGAAAACUGUUUUCAGAGCUCCAGCUGUUACACUUCGGGUAAAAGCAAAAGCAACAAGAAGCGUAGUAAGGGGGCCGCGCUGGGUGGGCAUCCAAGCACCUGUUCCCUGAAUCCACAGCCUGGCGUUGCUGGGGUUCAGGAGCCUGCUUUGGCGCCCGGGCCCUGGGGCCUUGGGGAGCUGAGGUCCCGUGGGUCCCUGUUGGAGUGUUUCCUGCGCUCGGGGUUCUGAGAGGCCGGGGGCUCAAUGUGCUUGUUUCUGAGGUCUCGCAUCCUUUCCUCAGCUCUGGGCGUGUGUCGGGGCUCAGCGACUCUGGGGCCCUCUCAGAGUUUCUCUGGGCGUUGUAGAGAAGCCGUCACUGUCUGUUGACUUGAACAUAACCUGGCUGUCAGCCAGCUCCUGGCAGCCUCCCUGGCCUGGGUUUGUUGGACUUUCCUGUCCGUGGGCCGACUCCACAGCCCGCACGGCCUGAGCUUGUGCUGUCUGGUGGCAGAGCCUGCGGGCCUUUCAUCCCUGCGCCGGGAGGUGGCUGCUGCCAUUCCCUAGUCAGCCGUGGUGCUGAGGGCCCCGCUGCCCGGAUAGGGGGGUGUGGGUGUGCACGUGUGUGUCCUCUUCCUCACAGGUGGGGUGACCUUUAGUGUGUUUACAGCCCACCCAUCCACAAACAUGGACAAGUGAGGAUUAGUUUAGCACAUGAGAUUGAACCUCGGAGCAGUCCUCUGUCCUCCACCUCUAGCCAGUAGAGGUGUGGUGGGAGGAGCACUAGAUUCUGAGUCCUGAGGCCUGAGUCUGUCUCUGGUCUGUGGCCUUGAGCCAGGAGCUUGCUCUCUGGCCCCAUUUCCCUGACUCAGUGGGGUUAACUUCUGGUUGCCCAGGCCUCUUUGCUGUUGGGACUCUGUGAGUCCAAGUGAGCUGGUAGGGUGAUACCACGCCCUGCCCAACUUUUGUUUUCUAGCAGGCCCAGAGGUUUCCUGGAGGAUGUCCUGUACUUCCUGGAUAACGCCAGCAGGCAGUGACCACUGCCGUCUGCCUCUCCUCCCAAACCCAGUGCCUCUGGGACCAGACAUUUGUGUGGGACCGUGUUCCAUUUGGCAUUUCCUCUGUGCAUUUCUGCGUGGUUGUGUUGUUACCCAGCCUCACAAUUCUGUGUUACUCCAUGAAAUGGUGUCCCAUAAAAGGAUGGAUGGUGUCACAGGCAACCCCUGCCCCGUGCAGUGCCUGAUUCGGCCUCAGUGAAUAACCGAGCAAUUGUUCACUUCUGCCAGCUGCCCCUGCGUCUGCCCCAGUGUGUGUCUGAGGGGGUGAGCGUCCCACCAGAAUGGGAGUGAGAGGGAGGAGGAGUGAGGCCCACGGUCUCUGCCAUGGGCAGAAAAGCGCACGGUAUGGAACAGCGUGGGAGAGGGCACGUCCGGCACGGAGUCCAUCGCUUGCUUAGUCAGAGAAACAGGAGGCGGCGCAAGGCUUGAGGAGUGCUUGCUGGGACAUGCCUCCACCUCCGUCUCAGGGAUUUCUGCUGUGCUUUGCUCCUGCCUGGUACUGAUUCGGGCCCUCCCGCUUGGCCUUGGGUGCUUGGCACCCGCAGGGCAGGCGCACUGCUGUAUUGGUCCCCUCCGGUGGCCCUGGCAUCCCCCGUUCAGAUAACUGCAGCUUUCUCUCAUCCAGACCUCCUGCCCCAGAUGAUGUCCCCGAGUGACCAGACUCCCUGAGGGCCUCCGGGGGGGAUCAAAUGAAGGAAUUGUGUUUGGUUCAUGAGUUAAGAAGUGUGUGUGAGUGUGUGUGUGUGUGUGUGUGUGUGUGUGUACACACCCAUACAAAGAUCUUCCUUGACUUGCGAUGCAUAUGUGUGGCCAUAAAUAUGUCAUAAGCUGGCGAAAAUACAUCGAAUACACCUAAGCUACUUAACCUUUUUUGUUUGUUUGUUUGUUUUUGAUUUUAUUUAUUUGACAGAGA